ensembl:lncRNA
CUUUGACACACACUCGACGCAUACCCAUCAAUGCGCUAGCAUGUUCUGUACCCCUACCUCUUCAGAUUUUUGGUUCAGUUUUCCCUUACGUUUUUAAUGUCAAAAUAUUGGUUGGAGAUAUAGAAGGGGGCGCAAUAUUAUUGAUAAUAAUAUAUUACAUUUUUUUGCUGGGCGCAGUUUUUGGCGAUACGCUUCCAUCGCUUUGAGUGGGCGUGUUGUAGCGUGUGGAAAUAUAAUUUUCAAACGUCAGAGACGACUCCAAACAAUCUGAUUGGCCGCUGCCCGGAAAAAUCGCUCCUCAUUUGCAUAGGAUUCAACAUUUUCCAACUUUUAUCGGUCGCGUCACCCAAAACGGUGGUCUACGUCACAAUGGAUUGGCUCCCGUUGAAAUGCAUGGGAUUUAGAUAUCGCGUCGCUGGUAACGGUGUCAUGGGUUUGCACCGUUAGCCAGAGGUUCUCAAAGAGGGGUCCGCGACGCAUUGCCUGGGGGUCCGUGAAAAAGUCUGGCUUCCUUUUCUUUUUUUUUCUUUUUUUUUGAUUUAUUGCAAUACAGUAUACAACAACAUACAGACAAGCAGAGGUGUAAAGUAACGAAUUACAUUUACUCACGUUACUGUAAUUGAGUCGUUUUUUUGUGUACUUUGUAAUUUUCAAGUAGUUUUUGAAAUUGGUAAUUUUACUUUUACUUAAGUAGAUUUUGACUGAAGUAUUGUACUUCGCUACAUUGGAAAUUACAUCCGUUACUGUGUAAAAAAAAAAAAAAACAUAGUUCAAGGCGGGAAUCGCACACGACAAUUCUGACUGCAGUGGUGGAUGCUGCAUAGAGUGGAUGAUGGAGUCGAUGCAAGGCGCCGGUGCCGAGUCACGAGAGAUAGAGAUGGAGGAAGAUGAUGGUAGUCCGCACUAACAAGCUGAAGCACCGAACUUUCCGCCAGUUGAAAUUAAAGAAGAUGAAGAAAAUCCGUGGCCACAUCUCAGCAAGCAGUUUGCCUUCCAAUGUAAAAGAGGCAACAGCUAUAUAAUGCUGUGUAAGCUGUGCCUAACCCGCCUUUCUGCUUAUAAAAAUUAAUCUUCAAAUCUGCGCAAGCAUGUGUUGGUAAGUACAGUAUUUGUCCCUUUCCAUUAGUAGUUCAGACAGCGUCUUUGUCGUUUAGUUAGCUUUGCUCCAUUAUGCAAAAUAUGCAUUUCAUGGCACUAGUAGCCUCAUUUUGGCUAGCACUUGCAACCGCCCUGAGUAUGCUAACGUCGACAGCCGUC